UCGGGUUUGUGGUUGCACUAGCAACCCUGACCUUGACUACGAUAAACUCCAGAGGGACACAAAAGUUCAUUAUCGAUGUUGUUUGUUGCGUGUGCAACAUCCUUAUGUACAUCGCUCCCAUAUCUGUUUUGAUUAGAGUUGUAAAAUCCAAGAGUGUUGAGGACAUGUCGUUCUUGGUAGCGUUUGCAAUGGUUGCAAACGCUUUUGUUUGGAGCAUCGUGUCAUUUCUUCUUUGGAUCCAAUUAUGUUUAGUUCCUUUGCGAUGUGCAUGUUCCUUGGACUAGUCCAAUUAGUGGUGUACGCGGUGUAUUACCCAUCGGCACAGGUGAUC